CCGAGUUGUAAUUUGUAGAGGAUGCUUUUGGUGAGGUGCCUUCUGAGUUCCCUGGAACGGGACGCCAGAGAGGGUGAGAGCCCCGUAUAGUUGGACACCGAGCCUCUGUAAAGCUCCUUCGACGAGUCGAGUAGUUUGGGAAUGCUGCUCAAAAUGGGAGGUAUAUCUCUUCUAAAGCUAAAUACUGGCCAGAGACCGAUAGCGCACAAGUAGAGUGAUCGAAAGAUGAAAAGCACUUUGAAAAGAGGGUUAAAUAGUACGUGAAAUUGUUGAAAGGGAAGCGCUUGUGACCAGACUUGUGCCCGGCUGAUCAUCCAGUGUUCUCACUGGUGCACUCUGCCGGCUCAGGCCAGCGUCGGUCUCGCAGGGGGACAAAAGCUUCGGGAACGUA
rnacentral:rRNA from 1 species